CGAACGGGUGAGUAACGCGUGAGGAACCUGCCUCAAAGAGGGGGACAACAGUUGGAAACGACUGCUAAUACCGCAUAAGCCCACGGCUCGGCAUCGAGCAGAGGGAAAAGGAACAAUCCGCUUUGAGAUGGCCUCGCGUCCGAUUAGCUAGUUGGUGAGGUAAUGGCCCACCAAGGCAACGAUCGGUAGCCGGACUGAGAGGUUGAACGGCCACAUUGGGACUGAGACACGGCCCAG
rnacentral:rRNA from 1 species